rnacentral:rRNA from 1 species
CAUGCAAGUCGAACGAAGCACUUUACCUGAUUUCCUUCGGGGAUGAUUGUUCUGUGACUGAGUGGCGGACGGGUGAGUAACGCGUGGAUAACCUGCCUCACACAGGGGGAUAACAGUUGGAAACGGCUGCUAAUACCGCAUAAGCGCACAGCACCGCAUGGUGCAGUGUGAAAAACUCCGGUGGUGUGAGAUGGAUCCGCGUCUGAUUAGCUUGUUGGCGGGGUAACGGCCCACCAAGGCGACGAUCAGUAGCCGGCCUGAGAGGGCGACCGGCCACAUUGGGACUGAGACACGGCCCAGACUCCUACGGGAGGCAGCAGUGGGGAAUAUUGCACAAUGGGGGAAACCCUGAUGCAGCGACGCCGCGUGAGCGAUGAAGUAUUUCGGUAUGUAAAGCUCUAUCAGCAGGGAAGAUAAUGACGGUACCUGACUAAGAAGCUCCGGCUAAAUACGUGCCAGCAGCCGCGGUAAUACGUAUGGAGCAAGCGUUAUCCGGAUUUACUGGGUGUAAAGGGAGCGUAGGCGGUCCUGCAAGUCUGAUGUGAAAGGCCGGGGCUCAACCCCGGGACUGCAUUGGAAACUGUAGGACUAGAGUGUCGGAGGGGUAAGUGGAAUUCCUAGUGUAGCGGUGAAAUGCGUA